CCUACGGGAGGCUGCAGUGGGGAAUUUUGCGCAAUGCUCGUAAGAGUGACGCAGCGACGCCGCGUGAAUGACGAAGGCCUUCGGGUCGUAAAGUUCUUUCGACAGGGAAGAAAAUGCCUAUAAGUAACUGUGUAUGUAUUGACGGUACCUGUAUACGCAGCCCCGGCUAACUCCGUGCCAGCAGCCGCGGUAAUACGGAGGGGGCGAGCGUUGUUCGGAGGGACUGGGCGUAAAGAGCACGUAGGCGGUGUUGUAAGUCAUUAGUCAAAGACUAGAGCUCAACUUUAGUAAGGCUAGUGAUACUAUAAUACUAGAGUAUCAGAGAGGAUUGCAGAAUUCCUGGUGGAGCGGUGAAAUGCGUAGAUAUCAGGAGGAAUACCGUUAGCGAAGGCGGCAAUCUGGCUGGAAACUGACGCUGAGGUGCGAAAGCGUGGGUAGCAAACAGGAUUAGAUACUCUUGUAGUC
rnacentral:rRNA from 1 species